rnacentral:rRNA from 1 species
UACGUAGGUGGCAAGCGUUGUCCGGAUUUAUUGGGUUUAAAGAGUGCGUAGGCGGUUUUUUAAGUCAGUGGUGAAAUACGGCAGCUCAACUGUCGAGGUGCCAUUGAUACUGGGAAACUUGAGUACUGAUGAGGUAGGCGGAAUGGACGGUGUAGCGGUGAAAUGCUUAGAUAUCGUCCAGAACACCGAUAGCGAAGGCAGCUUACUAAGGAGUAACUGACGCUGAGGCACGAAAGUGUGGGGAUCAAACAGG